UACGAAGGGGGCUAGCGUUGUUCGGAAUUACUGGGCGUAAAGCGCGCGCAGGCGGUUCUUCAAGUCAGUGGUGAAAGCCCGGAGCUCAACUCCGGAAUUGCCAUUGAAACUGUGGAACUUGAGGAUGAGAGAGGUGAGUGGAAUUCCCAGUGUAGAGGUGAAAUUCGUAGAUAUUGGGAAGAACACCGGUGGCGAAGGCGGCUCACUGGCUCAUUUCUGACGCUCAGGCGCGACAGCGUGGGGAUCAAACAGG
rnacentral:rRNA from 1 species